UAGCAUCUUCGACUACUCACAUCACUUGACUUGUGGUAGAAUGUUCAAUUUUCGUCGCGGAAAUUUGCAGAGUUACUCCUUUAUUUUCCCUGUCUCGUCAUAGCGACUACCAAUCUGACACCAUGUUAUGUGUGUUCUUUAUAUAAUGACAAACCGGGGCGUAGGUUUAACUACUUUUAAUGAACAUAUACUUCAGCUAGAAAACUCCAUGUUUAGCCAUACAAGGCAUUCUUCAACCACCUGCAUAGCCUGCUGGAAGAAGAAAGGAGCAUCUGCGGACCAGAAGACUGCAGCCAAGGCAGCACUGGUCCACACCUGCAUGUCUGUCUGGUCUAAUUCCUGAAAUGGAAAAGCAGAAGAGUCUGUGCGCUCUUGGAAAGUUAUAAAAGUUAAUAUGGUGCUCUUUGAUGUCCCAGUAAGAGCAUUGAAGAUGCUGGUCUUCCAGCCUGACAACGACCCGAAACACACAGCC